rnacentral:rRNA from 1 species
CCCUUAGACGUUCUGGGCCGCACGCGCGCUACACUGUCGGAGCCAGCGAGUAUAAACCUUGGCCGAGAGGUCUGGGAAAUCUUGUGAAACUCCGUCGUGCUGGGGAUAGAGCAUUGUAAUUAUUGCUCUUCAACGAGGAAUUCCUAGUAAGCGCAAGUCAUCAGCUUGCGUUGAUUACGUCCCUGCCCUUUGUACACACCGCCCGUCGCUACUACCGAUUGAAUGGCUUAGUGAGGCUUCCGGAUUGGUUUAGAGAAGGGGGCAACUCCAUCUUGGAACCGAGAAGCUAGUCAAACUUGGUCAUUUAGAGGAAGUAAAAGUCGUAACA